rnacentral:tRNA from 1 species
GCGGGGGUGGCAGAGCCAGGUCAAACAGGCAGAUUUGGACUUAAUGCGCGGAGUAUAUGGCUAUCCUUCGCCAUAUGCGCGUAAGACUCAAGAUCUAAAAGGAUGGGGUAUCCCGUCCCGAAGGGGUUCGUGGGUUCGAAUCCCACCCCCCGC